AUUGAACGCUGGCGGCAUGCCUUACACAUGCAAGUCGAACGGCAGCACGGGGCAACCUGGUGGCGAGUGGCGAACGGGUGAGCAAUGCAUCGGAACGUACCUUUCAGUGGGGGAUAACGUAGCGAAAGUUACGCUAAUACCGCAUAUUCUGUGAGCAGGAAAGCAGGGGAUCGCAAGACCUUGCGCUGAUUGAGCGGCCGAUGUCAGAUUAGCUAGUUGGUGAGGUAAAGGCUCACCAAGGCGAAGAUCUGUAGCGGGUCUGACAGGAUGAUCCGCCACACUGGAGCUGAGACACGGUCCAGACUCCUACGGGAGGCAGCAGUGGGGAAUUUUGGACAAUGGGGGCAACCCUGAUCCAGCCAUGCCGCGUGAGUGAAGAAGGCCUUCGGGUUGUAAAGCUCUUUCGGCCGGGAAGAAAUCGCACGGGCUAAUACCCUGUGUGGAUGACGGUACCGGAAUAAGAAGCACCGGCUAACUACGUGCCAGCCGCCGCCGUAAUAC
rnacentral:rRNA from 1 species